CAUUUUAAACUUCGGAGACCAAAUUACCACUCAAUCCAAAAUACAGGAUGGGAAUUUUUCUUAAAUCUAAUUAAUCAAUCGAUUGCGAGAGAUACACUUGCACAAGCCAAAAAAACUCUUCAAACUCUUGCAUUGUUUGCUAUUUCCCACCCUCGACAAGAUUUUGACAGAGAGCCCCAAAACUAGAGUGAGAGGAGGAAUUAAUGAACUAGGAAGAGAGCCCCAAAGCCGAGGAUAAAUUCACAACCUCGUUUCAGGUGCAUCUAUUAGAGAUUUUGCUAUGACGUCUAGGAGAGCAUGCUUGCAGAGGAGAAAUAUUACCGGCUAAAUCUAUUCGAGAUCCCGUGAACGUGACGGUCAAAUCUUACCGGCCAAGUUUAUUUGCUAAGUUUGCAGAGGAUAAAUAUUGGAGAUCUCAUCAUGAGGUGCUGGCACAGCUGCUACUCCUUCUGUCAAGAAAAAGAAGGAAGAACCAAGGAAGAGAGUGACGAAGACAUAGUAUUCAUCUUGUCCGAUUAGGAGACCCUUUCAGUAUGUGUAUGCAGUUAGGCAUGGCUAGUGCACUAGAAACUCUUUGUGGGAAAGCAUACGGUGCUAAGCAAUACCAUAUGCUAGGUGUUUAUCUUCAAAGGUCAUGGAUUGUUCUAUUCAUUUGCUCAUUAUUUUUGCUUCCGGUCUUCAUUUUCACAACCCCGAUUUUGAAGCUCUUAGGCCAAGAUGAAUAUAUAGCUGAGGUGGCAGGGAUUAUAUGCUCGGUGUUCACUAAUGAGAUUGAUGCUAAGAUGGAGCAGUUUCUCGACAUAAUGAUUGUUGAGGAUGGAGGACCAACUGUGGAAGAAUGUAUGCAGAAGCUAGUUGAUAUCAGUUGGACAACCAGAACUCCUUUAUAUAUAGAGGCUUCAAUUAUCUUUUUGGAAAAUCCAAAAUGUAGGAAAGAAUGGAUCCAUUUGUAUGGAUCUUGUGACACACCCGAUGAGGAGGCAAUGAAAAGGUGGUUGUCACUUUAUGCUAGGAGGAUGAACUUAUCAUAGGAGUUAUACGUCGGUUUCUUUCAUGUUUGGAUUGAUGUUUUGGUUUCAGUCUGGUUGCCACACCCGACAUAUGCAAUAUGCUUUUUGGUUUUUUGUUUUGAUAUUUUGAAUAUGUUACAUAUGCUCUUAUUUUGUGA